UACGUAGGGACCAAGCGUUGUCCGGAAUCAUUGGGCGUAAAGAGCGUGUAGGCGGCCUGUUAAGUCUUGCGUGAAAUCUCGGGGCUCAACCCCGAGCGGUCGUGAGAAACUGGCAGGCUAGAGUGCGGGAGAGGAGAGUGGAAUUCCUGGUGUAGCGGUGAAAUGCGCAGAUAUCAGGAAGAACACCCGUGGCGAAGGCGGCUCUCUGGAACGCAACUGACGCUGAGACGCGAAAACGUGGGGAUAAAAC
rnacentral:rRNA from 1 species